rnacentral:rRNA from 1 species
UACGUAGGCAGCGAGCGUUGUUCGGAAUUACUGGGCGUAAAGAGUGUGUAGGCGGUGCUCUAAGUUCGGUGUGAAAUCUCCUGGCUUAACUGGGAGGGUGCGCCGGAAACUGGAGUGCUCGAACGUGGGAGAGGAAAGCGGAAUUCCUGGUGUAGCGGUGAAAUGCGCAGAUAUCAGGAGGAACACCGGUGGCGAAGGCGGGUCUCUGGGCCGAUACUGACGCUGGAGGUGCGAAAGCGUGGGGAGCAAACAGG